rnacentral:rRNA from 1 species
UACGUAGGCAGCGAGCGUUGUUCGGAAUUACUGGGCGUAAAGAGUGUGUAGGCGGUGCUCUAAGUUCGGUGUGAAAUCUCCUGGCUCAACUGGGAGGGUGCGCCGGAAACUGGAGUGCUUGAGCGUGGGAGAGGAAAGCGGAAUUCCUGGUGUAGCGGUGAAAUGCGUAGAUAUCAGGAGGAACACCUGUGGUGUAGACGCUUUCUGGACCAUAGCUGACGCUGAGACACGAAAAGCGUGGGUAGCAAACAGG